UACGUAGGGUGCAAGCGUUGUCCGGAAUUAUUGGGCGUAAAGAGCUCGUAGGCGGUCUGUCGCGUCUGCUGUGAAAACCUAGGGCUUAACUCUGGGCGUGCAGUGGGUACGGGCAGGCUAGAGUGCGGUAGGGGAGACUGGAAUUCCCGGUGUAGCGGUGAAAUGCGCAGAUAUCGGGAGGAACACCAGCGGCGAAGGCGGCACUCUGGGCUGGAACUGACGCUGAGGAGCGAAAGCGUGGGUAGCAAACAGG
rnacentral:rRNA from 1 species